GCCGCGGUGGCUCAGUGGUUGAGCGUCGGCCUAUGAACCAGGAGGUCUUGGUUUGACUCCGGGUCAGGGCA
rnacentral:tRNA from 1 species